UACGGGGGGGGCAAGCGUUGUUCGGAAUUACUGGGCGUAAAGGGCUCGUAGGUGGCCAACUAAGUCAGACGUGAAAUCCCCCGGCUUAACCGGGGAACUGCGUCUGAUACUGGAUGGCUAGAGUGUGGGAGAGGGAUGCGGAAUUCCAGGUGUAGCGGUGAAAUGCGUAGAUAUUGGGAGGAACACCAGUGGCGAAGGCGGCUCACUGGACCGGUACUGACGCUGAUGCGCGAAAGCGUGGGGAGCAAACGGG
rnacentral:rRNA from 1 species